GAGUUUGAUCCUGGCUCAGGAUGAACGCUGGCGGCGUGCUUAACACAUGCAAGUCGAACGAAGCAUUUCUGAUGAAGUUUUCGGAUGGAAUUGGAGAUGACUGAGUGGCGGACGGGUGAGUAACGCGUGGGCAACCUGCCGUAUACAGGGGGACAACAGUUGGAAACGACUGCUAAUACCGCAUAAGCGCACGGUCUCGCAUGGGACAGUGUGAAAAACUCCGGUGGUAUACGAUGGGCCCGCGUCUGAUUAGGUAGUUGGUGAGGUAACGGCCCACCAAGCCGACGAUCAGUAGCCGACCUGAGAGGGUGACCGGCCACAUUGGGACUGAGACACGGCCCAAACUCCUACGGGAGGCAGCAGUGGGGAAUAUUGCACAAUGGGGAAACCCUGAUGCAGCGACGCCGCGUGAGCGAAGAAGUAUUUCGGUAUGUAAAGCUCUAUCAGCAGGGAAGAAAUGACGGUACCUGACUAAGAAGCCCGGCUAACUACGUGCC
rnacentral:rRNA from 1 species